CUCCAAGCUCCUUCUGUAGGCUUUCUGCCCGAGUGCAUCUUGGGAUUUCCCUUUUGCUGAAUGAGCUGCUUGUUCAAGAGGGAGGAAGUGAGGUCCCUUCUGGAUUAGGAGGGGAUGGGGGAGGAGGGCGGGGAGAUGGCCUGUUUCAUAUGCAAAGUGCAAUGAACUGGGGGGGAAAAAAGCAACAAAAAACACAUGGAAACCUAUUUAACAAAACCAUCCGUGUCACGGGCUGGCAGAGGAGCUGCUGGCUUUGUUGGGGAGAAACCUUUUAAAAAUGAGAUAAAGGUGGUUACUUUUUUUUUUUUUUAAUACCAGCUGAAGGAAAUAAAUAAAUGUCUCCUUAUGGUAGGUUCCUGUGAACAGAGCACGCAAUGAACUGAUGUGAUACCAACCUCCACAGCAGUCACGAGCUCACAGAGAUGUCUGUUGUGAUGUAUGCUUUCCUAAGGUUGGAAUUGAGGGAUGGCCACCAUUCUUUGGUCUUCCACAUCAGUAUCAGCUGUGUGUAAUUUGAUUUCAGUUACGUUUCUUCUACUCAGCCAAAUAAAUAUUUAGCAAAAGAAAAAAGGAACGUGGAUGUUCCAAUGUUAACAUAACGUUGCUUCAGUUGGGAGCAGUAAAGUCUGUGCAACAAAUGGUCAGUCGAGGGCUGAAGCUGUUUCUUUUUUCUGCAUUGAUGUUUCCUCAUUGAGGAUCGAAUGGAAAAGUUGCAGUGAUGCAAAAAGUAUGGAAGGCAGUGACACUUAUUGGGCAUCCUUGGAGCAAGACUUUGGAGGACUGGUGUCGUCCUCUGCACUUUUGGUCAUUUGUUAGCAAUGCAGAUGGCAGAUAUUUGCGUGUUGUCCUUGACUCUAGUUGAUCUUGCAGAAAUGAAUAUUACUGUUAAAAUAGCAACUGCUCAGAAUUAGCUGUCACGUUUUGAUGUUGUUUUUUUUUUUUAAUAAGCUGAAAAUCUUAGUUGAAAACUGCUAUUCCUUUCCAAAAUCGACAUUACUUUUUCCUGUUACUCUUGGUUUAUUUCUUAGCUGUCUUCUGUACAAGGAAGGGCUUGUGUAAUGCCCGAGCCAUUCCCAUUCCUCACUGAAUGAUAUGCAAAUCUAGUCAAUUAAGCAGGGGGGAUUUAAUUAGCAGUUUAAGUUCAUGUGUGAAGUGUCUUGCUUUAAUUACUUAACAGUUUUGUUGCAAAUUUGCUAAUUUUUUUUUCCUCAGAACUAUCGAAACUGUGAUAUUUUUUUUUUGUAACGUUUUCAAAUAGUGAGUAUUGCCCAGCAUGUCUGACCUUUGUACUGCUGUGCUGUGCGUGUCCCUUUAGUUGUAAGGGUCUUUUCAAUGCUGCGCAGAGAAAGCAAAGCUAUGUUUAUUGUUUCAGAACAAUACUUCAAAAAAAAAAAAAAUUUAGGAUUUUUGUGCUAAAAAUUUGGAUUGAAAGGCUGUCUGUUGUUCCUGCUCUCCUAGCUAGAUGAUACCAGUGUCGUGGUAUCUGUCUAACUGCCCCGUGUAGUUGCACUGCGUUAUAUUAAAUGGUUUCUUUUGUCCAGACAGAACUUGAAACAAGUGGCUUUUCUGCAUGGCUGCAGAACAUCAGCAUGUGGCUGUGUCAGCGUGGCUGCAGUGAUGGAAGUAACCCAGUGUUACAAGAAACAGGUUUGUGACAGUGCAGAACUAGGGCUGGUUUUUGUAUCCCCAUCUUUUUAUUUGAGAUGCCUGAGCAUGUGAGAGGGGGCACCAUUUACUCAGGUGAUACUGCGAAGGCCAUCCCUGCCUUUCUGAGUCACCUGUCAGGGUGGUGUUGUCUUGUGGCCUUGUUUGGCUUCUCAAAACGCGGAGGUGAUGCCGGGAAUAAGAGGAGACAUGAGAAGAAGAUGGAUUGAUUUCUGUGACUUCUUCCCUUAAUAACCCCAAAUCACAUGUUAAUGCAUCUCAGAUAUGAGUACACGACUGCACUUUCCUCUGGCUCAGCACAGCAGAUGGCCCAGCUGAGGCUCCUGGCGCCCUGCAAAUUGAGUAUAACUGGGUACAGAUCUGCUGUUUGGAUACCUGUUACCUGUUUGCAAAUAACAUUUAUCCCAGUGAUAGCAGAUACAUCAAAGGUAGAUCUGAAUUGCAAAGUAAAGUUUAUCAUCUGUUGUCAUUCAGGCAUGCUGGCUGUGGAGAACUUCCAGCUUCCAUGCACAGCCUGUAGGUAUUUCUCUCUUCCUUGCUCUCCACCUCCUCUCCCUAGGUUGCCAUAUAUCAGGAUGCUGCCAUAAAUGCACAUGAACAAAUAGGAAUGGUAACUCAUGAAAGGUUUGUAGGAUAUUUAGCCGUGAAGCACCAUGCUGUAAUGCAGCAUAUGAUUUGGAAGAUGCUGGUUUGGUACAGAGAACUUCCUCUGAGCUCCCAGCUGCAGUAUUUUAGAUGUUACAGAUAUAUCAUUUUACACAUUGCACUUCACAUGGAAGUCCAGAGAAAAAUUUAGAGAAACAUCUGUCUUGUCUGUCUUCAAAAGCAUCUUUAGGCAGUGGUCAGGUGAUAAGUGAAGGAGGUGAAGAAGCUAAUGUUAUUACAUGCAGAUCUGCCAUUAUUUAGCAGCCCCAAGGCUUGUUUCUUGCAGUAGCUGUAGUGUGCAGGCAGUGAUCCCGUGGUGCACUGAAGGCCCAUUAUGGUCAACUGCAGCUUGUUUCUGUUGUUUGGAAAAGUCACAGCAGAGGAUGCAGGAGGUCAAGGAUGGAGAGUGCUGGCUGGCAGGGUUUGCUAAAUGAGCAAAUUCUCAGGAGUACAUCUGGUGCUGGGAGGCUCCAGCAGCCAUUCCUUAGGAUGGUAGAUAGUGUGGCUUCUGAGGCAGCAGAGUUUGUAUUGCAACUGGACUCCUGCUGUAAGACUGAAGCACUGUGAACUCUGGUAUGCUGAAAAGCCUUUCUGUAGUGGACUGAAAGCGUUCCAUCUGUUUUGGUGCAUAAGAGCAGUACGCUGGCUGCAAUUCCUUUUGCUGCUCAUUGGCUGCAGUUGUGUGUGUGUGUGUGUGUGUGUGUGUGUGUGUGUGUACAUACAUGCACAGAUGAGAGGCUAGGAAGGAAGAAGAACAACAUUUGCACUUAAGCUCCAAUGCUCCACAAGUUUACAGGUACUCCUCAGUCACUGUUUUAAAGUAUUUCUUUAUUAUUUGGCUUAAACUUUGCCAACACGCAUAAAAAUUUUCCUCAUUUAUCUACUACAGUCUUCAGUUUCACUGUAGGGUUGAUGAUUGAGUAGUGGCAACUUCACUUUAAAGCUUUUAAACUGGAAAAUGGGGUUUUUACCAACGAAGGCUUUUUGAGAGAGAUGGAUAAGAAACUGCUGCAUUAGUUUUAGUGACUAUUUCCUGCAUCUCUGCACCUUGGAUAGAUUUAAAUAAUUUAACAAAUGCACAGAUACUGGCUGUAGUAGCAGUGCAGUUAAAAUCACUUCAGCCAGCAACCAUCCAGGCUGGGCAAAAGGCUGCAGCAUUUGGUUGAAGGACCCUGUUUAGAGACUCACCAUGGUACGGUGUGUUAAGAAAUUCACCCCAUUAAUAAUUCUUUUUAUAAAAACAGAAGAAGCAUUUCUAAACCAGUGCUCUGUGUUUCGUGCAUCUGCUUUUUAUGAAAUGCUUUUGUGAAACAAAGCUGUGUUAGAAAUGCAGAUAAAAGUUACGCUUCUGACAGUCUUUGCCAUCUCCUCAAUAGUAUCAACAGGGAUCUCAGCACUGUAAUACAAAGUGCUGCUUCCUUUAACCAAGGAGCCACGCUGCAUUUUAUGUAAUCCUGUCCUGGUCCCACUUCCUGAUCUCAGUGUUAGUGGGCCAAGGAAGCAAAAGUUAACAGCAAACAUGGAAUCUCCUGGCCUGUUUUGGUUUCCAAGCAGAAGCAGAGAUGUUGUGAUUUAGAAACUUCUUUGUACUUGUAAAAAUAAUGGGAUGUAUUAAUUCCUUAUUUCUUUCUAUGCUUUUCCAAUGUAGUUUCUGGAGAUGUUUCAUUCAAAUUUAUUAUUAAUCUUCUUAAGAACCCGUGUUACCACUGGUCUAUUUUUAAUAGAAUAUCUUUCCUGUUUGGCCAGGGCAGCCCUUUUGUUGAACCUCCUUUUGGACUGUGUUCCCAUGUGCUGUGAAGGCGCUGACACAUGACCUCGUUACACAUAGAAAAUCCUAAAUGUCCUGCCCCUUGCCAAACCUAUCACAAAGCUACCCAUCACCCCCUUUUCAGGAUCCCAGAUGGUAAAUAGCAGCAGGAGGUGAAAGGGGAGCUUUGUCUCCAUUCUGAGUCCUGUUUUAAGUAUUCUGUGUCUGUCUGUUUCCCUCUGCUUUUCCCACUCUGCCCAUAAAUUAGCAAGCCAGCUUUUCUGACAAGGAAAGACAAAAUGUCCAUAAGCUGCAGUAACAUCACCUACUCAAGAUAACGUUUUUGAACAUUCUUCGUUUUCGUUCUAUCUGGUUGUGAUCUCCUCAUUUGGGUAGAGCUGCUCUCAGGCCUGCUUGCUGGAGUAUUUAGGGCAAUGCUGCUUUGCUGAGGAUCAGGCUGCAGUUCAUAGCUUCUGUCCCAGCUUCUGAAAGGAGCACAUCCUCACAGUGACGUUUACCUACACCCUGGGUGGCUGGGCUCUGGUGAUUUAAAAAAAAAAAAUCCUACAAAGAUCUGCCUGUCUUAUUGUCUUCCUAAAGCCCAAGCUGUAAGGGAGGCAGCAGUCUGCGCUUGCUGGGAUGCCCUGGGAGCAGCUGGCUUUAUGAGCGUGCAGGGGGUCAGCAGUGAAAGGAGUGGGGACAUGGUGAGGGGAUACUGCAGCCCAGAGCCAUUGCCUGCAACUCUGUGACUCUCUUCAGAAGCUGGGCUUCACUCCUAGAAUUCACUGAGCAGGAUAUUGUCUGUAAGCACUCUUCCCAUGGAGUUUCCCUAUGUGACAACAAUUUCCCCUCGUUUUGUGCAGGAAAGCUGGCUUGGGCUUUUGUGCAGGUGGAAGUACGAGCUAUGCUGGUGUCACUUCUGGAAUAGUCUUAGCAGCAUCUGCUUGUAUUGAGGUGAUAACAUUCAGCUUGGUGUCUGUGAUAUUUUUUGGUGUGAUAGGUGUGAAGGACAUACAAAAGCUUUAUCCAUUAAUCAUCUCUCCAAUCCAAGGCUGUGGUAGUAUUUCCUAUGAGAAGAGGAAACUGUACUUUUUUUCUUUUUUUUUUUUUUUUGCUCUGCUAUUUACCUGCAGUUAUACUGUAUAGGUUUGAUGGCUUCUGCUAAGAAAUGCUGAUUUAUGCUAGCUGAGCACAUGCCUUUGUUUGUUGGGGACAGGUUGUUUUGUUUCCAUUAAUGAAGGCCCUGCAUUCUCUUUAGCCCCAUCUAAUUCCAGGAACAACCUGCGAUUGCCCGACCUGAGCUCUGGCAGCUCUGUAUGAUGUUCGUCUUUUCUCUGACCUCGGUGCAGCUGGGAAAUCAGAGACUGCUGAAAUGAAAUGCUGAAAGUUUAAUUAAUUUUAUGGAUUCCCUGUUUUUUGUGCAUCUUUAUUUUAAGCUGUUGAAUAUUAAUAUGGAAAGGGGAGUAGGAGUGCAAGGUCUGUUUACUGUCUAGUACUUGAAAGUGGUUUCUUUUCUUAUCCAGUUGUUUCAUUUUAUGUUAGAAAUACAGUUGUAUUAUUCCCAGGUUCCUGCACAGUCUUAAGAUGCCAAGUGAGUGUCAGCAGGGAUGCUGAUGGGAGGGAUUUACAGCCAUAAUGCAAGCGUUGUGGCUCUGAAACAUAAGAGUGACUCCACUUUGAACAUGAAUUAAUAAACUUUGAUAUUUAAGUGUCGAGAAAGAUUAAGAAGAAGAGAGUGAGGAGCUCCUAUGUCUUUUGGCUCUGUUUUUCUGGGUAAGAAUGCUCUGUUUUCCCCAUUGCAAGUUAAUUAGUACAGUGUUUUUUUCCUGCUCUGGGAUCUCCUGUAUUUCUUCUGACCUGUAAUUCUCUGUAUAGUCAUCAAGUAGAAUAGAUCUGAUGGGCUCCGUUCUGACACGUUGUGUUUUGACAGCACAUUUUGUUCAUACUGAGUCAAUACUUUUGAAGCUGGAUUGCUUGGUCACUUUAAUUUGACAUAUACCUAGUUGCUGCCAAAACUCCUUUUGGCUUCUGCCCUAACACCAGCCUACUGUUCUGUCACCUUUUCUCACUGUCACUGGUGCUUUUAUGGCUGCACAAUGUGCAACAACUCACCAGGGAAUCAAUCUGCCUGAAUUAGUCAUUAUAUAAAGGAGAGUUACAAAAAUUAACAAAUGUGCUGUUGAGUGUACAGAAUAAGCCAGUCAAGGUGGGUUGGCGGGUUCAUUCACUGGCAUUGUGUGUCAUUUGAGAUUGCCAAAGGUAUGAAAUUUUCAGAUAAAAUGAUGGUUUACAUGUUAGUGCUUUAUCCUGAAGUACUGACAACCCAGGGAACAGACUUGUGAUGGUGAGAGCGAGGAUGAGAUGGAAUCAAGCAGUGCUGCUUCAGCCCCAGCUUCUGUCAUCUGUGAAACCUUUGUGUAGUGGCUGUGGCUGCUGAAGAUUAGGUCAGUAUCUUUUCUUUAACACCUUAUUAGGCUGUUGCUCUAAACCGUGAGCUACUGUGAAUGUAUUUUUCUCUCUUUUUUUCUUUUUAAGGCUUUUGGUGGAUGAAGCUCUAAAAUGAAUAGAAAUAGUGUCUCCCUCUUCCUUUUGCCUCCUACUUGCCGCUCACACACACUCAGCCCUGGGGUCUUUUCUUUCUGUGUGGUUGGCAGAACAGAGAAAAAGAGAGAGAGGGAGACUGUCUGGGCCCCUGGUGCUGUCAUGAGAAGAAUAGUUGUGCUGUUACCGCUAAAUCUAAAGGGACAAGCUGGGGUAUGUAUGCUGCAGCAGCCAGCGGGCUGAAUUAGUGGCAUUUAGGCACUGCUAAGAGGCUAAUUGAGUCACUGGUACUUGCUGAUUAAACCAGCAAAUGGAAUAACGUAUGGAUAUGUGCAUGUUUGUGUUUGGGUCUAUGCUCUAUGAAAAAAUAACGUUAGGUUUUCUUUAACCCUUUUGCUCAAGCCACUUAAUAGCUUAAGGUACACCAAAGCAGCUAUAUAAAUAUGAGGAGGUCAGUCUUAUUUUAUUAUUUUCUCCCUGCAAUAUUAAUGGGAGGGCACUAACACAGUUCCUUUACUGGUUACUGAAUUGUUGCAGCUGAAAAAGUGGAGCGUUGAGCGAGCCUUUGGUUUAAUAUGGGGUAUUCAGAGUUGAGGUGACAGAAGGGAAAGAACUGAGGCUGUCCUCAAGGGAUGUGGGCACAGAGGUGAAGCCUUUGUUGGAAUCUUGGUUGGAAUCCAUCUCAAACCACUCCACCUUCUUCAGAACUGUGUCAGUAACACAGCUGGUGGCUGCACCGCUGCUUCUGGAUAUCUCAGCAGCAGUGCAUAAACAGUUGUCGUAUAUAAUGAUGAAGAUUAUAGCAUAGCUAAAGAAAAUGUUUAUAGCUGGGUUGUAAGGGGAAUACGUAGAGAAUCUGCAAAGCUGAGCUAAACUUUAAUAUACCCUUGCUGUGUAUUUUGUAAUGCGUUGUCGCUUCUGAAAUCUGCCCACAGACUCAGGCCCAGCUUUGCUUUUGCUCACAGUGGUUUUUAUAAUGAUUGUGGCUUGUUUAACUUCAGUAGAAUUAUUCCUAAUUUACAGCACUAUAACUGAAGAACAGAAUUAGAUUCUUGUGUUUUUCUUUGAAGUGUGCAGUGCUCUUAGGGAGGCUGUUGUGCUGAGGGCAUAUUGCUCUCAGUGAUUCUUUUUAAUUUUGUUUUUAGCUUUUAAGAAGAAUGAGACACCUCUCAAUCUAAACCAGAAGGACACGUAUGAAAAAAUAGUAAGACUCAUAGAGGCGAAUGGUGGGUUCAGAACCUUGUGAGUCAUUGCAGGGAGAUUGACAGUUUGGGAACAUGAACGCGGAGGAGUGAGGAUGGGAUGCUCAGGGGCUGAUGAGAUAAGGGAAUCUAUAGAAUGUCAGCAGAGGGGUCAGCAGCAGCGUGCAUCUCAUUCCAGAGUUAAACUCAGGCAUUGGGAAAUGGCAUUCCUUGAUGGCAAAUACGAUCUGACAGUUCUCAGCUAGCUACAGUGUUCUCCUCCUCCUCCUCCUCCACCCUCCCUUCAGCCACAUAUCAGCGGAUGCUUUGGAGAUCAUGUCUGUUCUUGCCUUCAAAGCAGCAACAAGAAAAUAUUUAAAGCCACAAGCACACCUUAGAGGUUCUGCAGGGUAAGCCAGGUUAGCAGUUUUGUGUACUUGAAAAAUUACAUACUUAUUUAGGCAACUCAGUUUCUAGUGUGGUCAAUCUGUUUUAUCUCCUAUUCAGAGAUUAUUGAGCUUUACUCUAAUUUUAGCACAUAACUGUUGUCUUCCUCCCUCUUCUUUCUUCCUUUCUUCUCUCCCGUGCACGUGAAAGAAUUUCUUUCUGUUCUUGGGCAGGCCUGGACUGGAUCUGCUCCUGGAAUUAACUACACAGGAGUUCAUUCAUUCCUCCUCUCAAAUUACUUGGUGCUUGCUAGGUAUAAUUUGUUCAUGGGUGGUGGGGAAGGAACUGUCCUCCCCUUGUUAUUACCAAGGUGCAAGGAGCUAAUACUGCUUUAGUGGGCAGGGCAGGAGACUGAGUCAAGAGAACUGUUUUAUAGUCCCAGCUCUUGACACCAUUUAGAGGGGUGACCUUGGGCGAGUUACUUCACUUUUCUGUGAAACUGCAGCAAGUGUUUACCUCCCUGCCCAGCAGGGCUGUUGAGAGGAUUUCUGUGGAUUGUUUUACAUACAUACAGGAUUAUGUUAUUAUUGCUGAGUGUUGUUUUUUAUGAAUAUGUAUGAAAGGCACUGGGACGUUACCUCACCUUAGGCCUCACACUCAACUCAUUGCAAGCUUGUGGUUGCUGUGAAUUUAUGUAAUGGAAGAGAUGGAAGAGAUUAGGAGCAUUAUCCUCAGAAGCUCUUGAUGUUCUCAGAAGAGAAAUUGGUGAACCCCGUUUCUCCUUCUCUAAGUAGCUCUCUGUUUUUUAUCUGACUUUGUCUCGUUGCUGGCAUUUGGGACAUGGGGUCUGGAGAGGCUCCUAUCAAACCAGAAGUAUUAUUUUUCUGUAGGCUCUUUGUGAGAUCCUAAAAUACAGCUCUUCUUGCGAUGGAGAAAGGAGGAAAUAAUGACAAAAUAUUGUGCUGUUUUAUUUUUGAAUCCUGAGCUUGUGGCAAGGGAACCAACCACACUGUGGAGGUUGCACAAGUGCGGUCUCCAGGGUAUCACUGGCGGUGUCAAGGAAAACUUCCUCUUUUAAUCAGUGCUGUGGUGCAGCAGUGCUGCUGUGGAUGAGUGGGCAUAGCUGGGAGGCAAGGAAAGGCCAGGAGGGUGUGAGCCUCAUCUCACUUCAUCUUUUACAUGAAAUGGGGAAAGGGCAGCACUGCUGAAGAGGAAUCAUUUUCCUUGACAGAAACUGAAAUAUAUAUAUGACCGUAAGCCUGCCUUCCAUGCUCUGCAUGCAGACUGUAGGGUUCUGAGGCUGAAAGCGAGCGCAGGGUGACUCAGUAUGGCUGUGACCUCAGCUUGCCCUGAUGCCCCAGUAUGCAGUGCUGCUGCUGCCCAGGCAGGGCUGUCCAACCUACUGAUGUUCUGAGAUGCCAUGUAAAGAUUGAGUGGGUUUUUUCUUAGCGUUUUGUGGGUGUUGCUCCUAAUCUCUUCCAGUGUUUCACUUUUAAGUCAUCUUGUCUGUUUAAAAUUAAAUAAAUGAAAAGGCCUCCAUCUGACUGUUAGAGAACUUCAUGUUUGAGUUUACAGUUGUUGAAAAAUAGACAUGUGAGUACAAAGUGCUUUACGGUAAAUGUUCCAGCCUUCUAGUUCGUAGGUCUUCUCAGGUGACUUGAGUCAAUUGUAUGAUGACAGCUAUCAAAUAGCAUCUUCUGUCCCAGUUGCCUAAUGACAGUUAUCAAAUAGCAUCUUCUGUCCCUGCCUGGAGCCAGCAAGCUUAGAUUUUAGUCCGUUGAGUUGGCAAGGCAGGUCCAGGUCAGACAGAAACCUGUCAAAAGCAAUGCUUUAAAUAAAUGCCUAUGCCUCUUUCUCCUGUUCUGCCAUCCUUUAGUUUGUGCUUUUGGGCAAGGUGUUAACAGUCAUUUCUGAAAUCUCACCAUAUUUCCUGCACACGCUUUGAGUAUAACUGAAUAAAAAGCAAGCUUGUGACAUCUUCACCAACCAGUGUAGGAUGGAUUAAGCACGAGAGGCAAAAGUUGCUUCCCAGAAUCCAGUAACUUCAUUUUGAGGCUCGGGAGAGUUUUGCUGUUUGCUUGUGGCUCCAUGCAUGCUCCUUUACCCCCAGUGCAGCUGUAAUCCAGUCGGAUGGCUGCAGUUGGGGUGACCUGUGCUGAACAGCAGCUGUGGCACAGCCGGUGGGGAUUGCUCAAAGGAGUGAGACAUGGGGUUAGCCUGCUCCUUUGCCUGCCUUGACCCUCGCUCUCUUUUUCCUUACUCAUGCUCUGCUUUGUAUUGCAAGGAUGGAUUUGCAAAGUCUUUAUGCAACUAAUUCAUUUGAAAAUUGCAUCAUCAGGAGGGCUCCAGGUUGAGGAUUUGACUAAAUCAAAACUUUCUGUGAUAACCUAAAAGUUUCACACGAGGCAAAUGCUGUGUUUCCUUGCUUUAAACACAAGCACACUGAUUAGCACUUCUUCUCUGCAUUUGUGGCUGACUUUUCACGUUGUCAUAUUCGUACUUACAGUGAGAUAUGCGUGUCACUUAGCACCUGAUUCUCCUAUGCAAAGGUCUUGUCACACAGCUUUCAUCGAAUGCAUCUUUUUGUGAAGUGGGUGCAUUCCAAUAUGCCCAUAGCCAUCUCAUGGCACUUCUCUGUGACCUUUUUGCCGGAGUGACAAAGGGAGUUCCACCCGAAGCAGUCUGUGCAUUCAUCGCUCAUAACAAUACCUGGGGAGAUCUUAUCUGGGUUUGAUGUUGGAAUUCUUACGUUUGAAAACAAGAGGGGAAUUUGAGUGUGGGGAAUUACUCUAUAUUAAAUGUGUUUUCUUAAUUUGUAAAGCAUUUGAAUAAACGCUGGCGUGAAUGUGCUGUAAAAGGGUAAGGCUGUGGCAAUAAAAAAAUGCAUUUUGCAAAUUUUUGCACUGUGAAAGGGCUACUUCUAAUGGAAUUGAAUUGUUUAGUUGAGACAGCUCUUGCUGGAGAAAAUUAGAAAGGCUUCAUUCCUGUCAUAAUGAAAUUGGGUCAUUGUCUUUUUUAACUGGGUCAUAGGAGUUUCCAGCAUGGGAGGCCUCUUGCCAUGUUUGAUGAGGGCGAGGUAUGGGAGCAGCCUGCUCUGUUAACCCUUGCAGCAGGGCUCAGCUCUGCUCCGUGCCCUGGGUGGGAGGGAGGGGGGAGCUGCCUCUCCAGGCACCAUGCUGUGUGCGAGCCGGGCUGGGACUGUUCUGGUGCACAUCCAGAGCCUGGGCUGCAGGCACCAAGGAUGGCACAGUGGAGCCCUCGAGCCUCCCACGUCACCCCUGCGGCUUGGCUUCUGCUGUGGCCAGAGGUCCUCCCGUCCUUCACUGAAGGAAAGGGAGAAUGCUGAAAUACAGAACUAACUACAGUGCUGUGGGGUCUUAAUUCACUUACCAAUUUCAACAAAUCAUGCUUGAAAAACAUUUUGUUGCUAUAGCAGUAUGUGAGAGGUGGCUCCCGCCCUCACACCACAGGGAAGGCUUUCAGAGAUACUGAGCUACCCUUCUCGCAUUUGGGAAAGAAAGAGUCUUCCCCGUUUGUCUGCGCUAUGUGAAAAGCAGCAGUGUCUGAAAACCAAAACAAAAAACCCCACAGCACAACAACUGGCCUCCUUCCAUGAGCCGACCCUAUUUCCAGCCUGUCCGCCACGGUACCAGGGGCACGGGCUGUUAUUGAGAGGCUGCUCUUGUACAUAAAGCCUUGUGAUUUUUGUUUAGAACCGUGAGUCUCCUAGAGUUCAGCUCCGCCGGAACAAAAUGUUCAAGACAAUGCUGUGGGAUCCAGCUGGAGGUUCAGCGGUACUGCAGCGUCAGCCAGAUGGAAAUGAGGUGCAGAGGGUUGCAGGGGUGGGUGUGGGGAGUUCCUUCCCUUUAAAGGGAAAGGAAAACAAUAGUGAUUCUGAAAUACAUGCGUUCACGUGUAUCUAUAGUGUUAAAUGCUAACCAUGGUAGGCAUGUUCUCAUUCAGCUCAGUGCCAGUAAGAUGUCAGUUGUGCUUUGUGUGUGGUUGUUACAGUAAAUAGGGCAGAGACUGCUCUCAGUGAAAAGCCCGUGUAACUCCGCUGAUUUGGGAUGUACACUGACAUAACUAGAGCAUAAUUUGCUCAUUGCCUGUGAUUUUCAAAUGACCCCAGUGAGUUUGUGUGUAUGGCUGGACAUGCCUUACACUGGCCUGGUUUUCUGGAAGUGCCAAACUCAUGCAUUUCAAAAAUCACCAAUAUUCAGAGAUGCAAAUAACUUUUUUCAAAUUCUUAGGCUUUAGCACUGAUAGCUCACAUUUUGUCCUCUGUCUUUUAUUUCUGCUGAUGUGAAUGAGCAUGCUUAUGAAGAGCUGGUUACAGAGCAAGGUUUAUGAAGUUUUUUUGGCCUCUUUUUUUGGAAUUGCUUUGUUUUGUGGAAUGGCUGUAGUGAUGUAAUGCAUCAUCAGUUCAAAUAAGAUGGUAAGUGAAACAAAGCUUCCAACUCCUAUUUCUGCAUGUUGACACAGUUGAAAUUUUAGAUAUCUUUUGGCAAAGCAAAAUUUGAUAUGAGAAAAGUAAUAUGACAUAGAACCUUUGAAGAAAAAAACUGUAACUGUUCCAUUUAAUCUCUGGCAAUUGUAAACUCGUACCACUGAGCCUCUAGCUUUGUGAGAAACAGGGAGUGCAUGUAGCUGAGUAGUGGUGCUGUCCAGGAGCACUGAAAUGAAAAUGGGUGGUAAGGAGGGAGGAAAAAAAAAACCCAUUUGAGAAAUGUCACCGAAGUUGUUCAUAUUGUUUGUUUUUCUAUUAGUUUUCCAUUUGAACAAGCAAAAGCAGAACUACCUGAAUACACAUUCAAGGAGCUAGUUCUGCUUUUGCAGAACUUUUUCUCCUCCUGCUCUUUUAUUGGCAUAUUUUGCUCUUUCCUCUUCAAAAGGAGUGGUCAGGAGGUUCAAGUGAAAUUUAUUUGAGAAGACUUGAAAUACUCCUUGGCCCGUUCCUGUAAGCAUUCUGGGUUCAGCAGUAAUUUGUACAGCAUUUCCAGAAGUGCUGUGAUCUCCUGCAUUGUGUUUUGGGAGCAUCAGAUGCUAAUUCAUAAUGCAGUGAGGUGGGCAGUGGUGCAGCAGCACUCAUUUCUCCUAGGAACAUCCUGAGGGAAAGAAAACUGCCUAUAAGGAAGGGAAAACCUUUUAUUUAAGGAGAAUGAGGAGAGAAAGCCCAGUGGUAUUCUGUAUAGUGACUUUGUCUGGGAAGGAUCUGUAAGGAAGAGGAAGUCUCUCUUCUGGAAUGUUUACAGAUGGUUCUCCAAGGAAGUGAAGACUUAGAAUAUCAGAGUUGGCUGUGGUCAUGUGUUGGAUGCUGAACUGUUAAUUAAAUUACAGCAUAGAUCCUUGACCAAAGCUUGCAAAAGUUUUCAACACUCUUUCAUCUGUGCCCUCGUAUCUUCUGGGAGCAGCUUGCAAUUCAAGUCAGAUACUGACGGAUGUUUAAGACUUUCAAGCAGUGUGAUGUCAGUAGCAGUGAAAAAAACAGACAGCAAUUUACUGGUGGCUGGUCAGGGCUGGGAAAGCCCAUGCCCCUCCUUUAAAAGUCCCUCUUUUAGAGCUCUCCUAAACAUGAAGUUUGCAGACUCAUUCACUACUCAUCUAGAGAAUGAAUGUCUCCUUUCUUCUCCUGUGUGUGUUCCCAUGGUCUGUGUGAUCAUAAGUUGCAUUGCUGUGCUCCAUUUUCCACAGCCCGUGGCUUCCAGGCUUUUGUGUGGCUUCUUCAGAAUUUCACAAGUACAUCACAAGAUGCUAUUUCGGGUGGCUGUAGGAUAAAGAGCACUUAGAUCUUCAGAAUGCCCUUUGCCACAUUCCAUUAGGCCUGUGAGGUACCCAGAAAGCAAACCAAAGUCUCAGUAACUCUUAGUCCAGCACAUUCUGUUUUACACAGAUGUGAUCAGAAGAUGCUGCUUCAUCUUUUUGCAGCAUUUAUCUGGAGCUGACGCUUGUGGUGGCACCUCCCCAUGUAGGGAGGCUGGCUGGCAGCCCUGCUGUUCCAGGAGGGGCCGGGGUGCAGAAGUACCUGCCUGUGAGCAGCUGAACCCAACCUGCUGGCCUCAGCUUCCCGUUCUGUCAUGCUGCAUUCCUGUCAGCUCCCACUCCCGCACAAAGCUUAUGCAACUGUCUCUGAGGCAGAACAGGGGUCACUUCAGGCGGCUGUUUUGAUCUGGUGGUGCCUCUUCUCCUCUCUAACGCUGUCUGGAAGGAUUUGUUAGAUUCUUUUUUCAAAAGAAGAGGCCAGGCACGCAGGCACUUUCACGCACACACAUCAUGCUGCUGCGUUGGGAUUUAAGGGCAAAUGGAAGCCAGGGCUUGACAGGAGGCUGAUUAGGAAUACAAUCCUUUCACAGUGCUUUGCUUUUGCAUCUGAAGAGACUUCUGUGUGCUCAGCAUUUAGAUUUGCUGCCCCAGUGACAUCACACGCUGUCAGCACUGCGGCUCCAACGGUACCACCAGCAGUGCUCUGCCUUUCCUUCGUAGCUUGCCCGAGCCUAUUGGAAUCAUUUACAUAUGUUAAACAGCCAUUGUGUGACCCUGUGACAAAGACUUUUAUUUUAUCUGCGUCAGAGAGGAGUAAACUGAGAUAGGGAACGACCUGGUGGCUUGUCUGUGGCCACGCAAGAUGUUAUCUGGGGACCUUCAGUAAGAACCCCAGCACCCAGGCUGUGCUGUACUCUGGGGACACGCUCAGCUCUUCCCCUGGCACACAACCUGGAGCAGGGAGUCCUCGCCUCUUGCCUCGAGUUCUGACCUCUCUAUUGUGGCUCCAGACUUGCAAAUAGAAGCUGGGUGUCAUGACCACCAGCCUCUGUUUUGAGGCAGCAAACUGCAGCGCCAGUGCCCAGAGGGUGAGUCGAUGAGGACGUUGAUCUGCCAGCUUCCAGUGACCUGGUGCAGCCUUAAAUCAGCCGAAGGUAGAUCUGGGAGCUGGUCUGUGGCUCAGCUCCCUCCUUAGACACUGCUAGAGCAUUUUUUUUUUGGUAGCUUUGGUCAGUGCAGUGCUAGUUAAGGAUAUUCUCUCUUCAUGCCUCUCCUAUCCCUCUCAGUGUUGGGGUUUUCAGCUUUGGAAUAAUUCCAGGAGAACAUCCAAACAAAGCUUCCCAAAGUCACUCUAAAUCAUCGUCAUAGGAAAUGUUUCCUGCGUGCUGCUGAAGUUAUUUAACGACCACUUCACUCAUGUUUCCCUAUCAGGCAAUUGUUAGUGCUUUUAUGUGUUCUUAGUGUAUCUGGAAACUGAACCAAAUGUGAUCAAAGCAAGCAUCCUGGUGAUCCUGUGACACUGUGGGGUCUUGUCAUCUGUGUGGAACGCCCAAGAUGAGCCACAAUGAAAGUGAUAGUUGCUAGAAAGAGUACGUAGUUUGAUGGGAUAUCAUAGGGUAUGACCCCUGCCUGCAUGGAGCUGGCAGUCAGCUCUACAGUGGCUGUCUCUGGGGUUAGAAAGAGGAUGAGAAACCUGAGGAGGAGGUGAGAAAGAGCCCAAACCAGACCUGUGACAAAAAGCUUUUCUCUUCAACUAUAUUUCCGGUGUUGGGGUGAUUCUGUGCUGGAGACAGUGUAGCUCUUAACUCACCUUUGUAUGUCAGUGCUGGCAUAUAUUAUAACUGUAUAUAAAUAAUUAAGAUUACGUCUUAAUUCCUGUGUGCUAAAUUUGUACAGAUUCUUAUAAAAUUACAAUUUUGGUAGAAAAUGAAAUACACAAACACUUCAGAGAUCCACUAAGAUAAGAGAAGCUGAGAUAAUGCAUACUGUUCACAUUAUUUAGAUUAUAUAUAUAUUAUGAAAAAUUGUGAGAAGAAACAUGUUUUUAAGAGGUGUUUUCUGUAGUGCACAACUAGAUGCAGCUUCUCUCUUAGCUUUGCUUCUUCUCUUCUUCCUCUCAGUCAUUUCCCAGGUGUAAAAAUAGAUUUAUGCCAUUUCACUUUGGCGAUCCCAACUAACAAGCAUAUAAAGGAAGCUUUGUAUCUGAGACUUCUUGUCUGCUGGGAUGUAGGUUUUUCUCUUAAGGGCCGCAAAGUAAGUCAUUGCCCUUCCUUAGGAGGCAGUUGGGACUGGUCAGAAGCAUGUGUAAUUUUAUGUUAUAUGUGAACAGCAUCAGAACUCUACCCUGCAAGCUCUGUUAUGGUUCCUUGCCAUAUAGAUUGACACAUGAUGUCAAUUGGAGUUCUAAGUUGUUUGUGUUUUUUUUGUUUUGUGUUUUUUUGAGCAGCUCACACUGUUAAUGUAUGUCAGGAACACCUAGACCAUAGUUAGGUGGUAGGUAAGACUCACCUUAAGACCAGCUUUGUUCCACGUGCUCCUUAGGGUGCUUUGCCCUGACAUGCAGCUGUAGCCAGUAUUAAGCAGAUAGCAUUUCUCCAGAAUUUCGUGAACCUAAAAAAUUCUGAAAGUUUCAUAUGUGACUGGCUUAUCUCAAGCAAUGUACAGCUCUGCUUUUGCUUGAAGCAGUCAUUUCUUUCCCCUCAGUGCUUUUGAUGUGCUGCCUCUGAGCCUGCCUUCAUUUUCCCAAUAAGUGCCUGAUUUGUGUACUGCUUUGGUGGUGGUUUGUUUGUUUGUUUUUCUUUUACUCGUUUGAGUGGCUGCAUAUGGACUUUGGAAAUGCUGUACUGUCUUGACAGGUGAGAGAGCAAAUGUAGCAUUAGGAAUUCCUCCUUCCCCCAGCACUGCAGCAGGCAGCUGGAUCAGGAGCUGCUUGAGUCAGUAGCAGAAGAAAAAUAGACCUUAAAGAAAAUCCAUAUGCCACACUUGGCCUGGUGAGAUGUAGGGAAGACUUAUUGCUGCCCUUUGUGCACACGAAAAGAUGAAGCAGGAUCUUGUUUGGUAACAUGGAAUCUCUUUAUAGAAGUAGAAAACCCAGAAACCAAACCUCAGUGCAGGAGAAGAAAUGUAAAAGUUUGGAUGGCUAUCAAAAUAGCUCUGAGCUGCAUUCAAAGCAGAGUUACUUGGAAACAUAAAUUACAGGGGACAAUUAAAUAGCACUAGAUUGACAGAUCAUGAUGUUCUUUCCCAUAUACAGUAUUUACUUGUAAAGUGGAGGCUGUGUUUAGCUCUGGUUCCCCCCUCAAAUUUUAUUUCAACUUUGCAUGGGAAGAGUAAAUGGCAUUGCAUGUUAUGAAGGCUUUCAACAUACGUGUUCUUUGCAAACUAGAAUUUAAUGAAUGGUGCUUAUAGAGAAGAUGUCAAAGGAGAAACUGAACCUCUUAGUUGUAGCAAGAAUUGAAUGUAAAUCAGAAUUGAGUGUAAAUCAGCUUAGCGUGUCUUGCUGUUUAGGAAGCCUUAAUUUCAUAUUCCUUUCCUUGAGUUCAGGAGGAACUAAUUUGACUGGGCAGCGUUUUUUCUAAUUUGGACUGGAUUCUGGAUGUCCCUUUACUUUGCUGAAGAAAAAAGUAGGGAUGCACAUGUAAAUUCCUGACCUCUUUUUAAGACAUUGAUCCUUUUGGUAUCCACAUUCCACAUGCCCCUCUCUCAGAAGGUUUCCCAGCACACUGUUAAUUAAUAAAAGACACUCGUCUUCCCCCCCCCACCCCCCCCCCUCCCUGGUGUUAACUUAUAAGCAGAAUGUUAACAUUGCAUGUUAAAUCAGUAAAGAACUUCCUUCAUUUUUAUAAGCAUUUUCUGGUAUCCGACUUUUUGGCACUAUUGGAAGAAUUCAUGUGCUCUUCGUUUAGUGCUGGGAUGUCAGUUACAUGCAUGCAGUAGGAGGGAUGUUUCAGCCCUUCUGCUGGCCAGAUGCUAGGUGGAAAAAAAAAAAUUACAAAAUCCUACAUGAAAAAAACAAGAAUUAGAAAAAACAAGAACAAUAAAUAGACAUCCUAAGAAUUUCUGUUCUAUAUAGAUUUUAUAACAAGUAGUAAAAGAGCACAGAAUGGGCAGUAUCAUGAAUCCUUUGUCAUAGAAAUGAAUUAAAAAAACUCUGUUGUGGGAACAGAAUUAGAAACCUUUCCAUGCUCUGGAAGCAGGAAAGGAGGAAAUACAAAGAUGAAGCUGGAUUUCCCAAAGAAUUCAAGACUAAUUUUAAGGCCAACAGAUUUUCCCUCCCAGAACAGUGUCCAUCUCCAGAUGAAGAGAUUAGCCGGAUUCCCAAGGGAACCAUUGGGAGAGCUGUCUUCAUGUUCUCUGGUCGUGGUCAUUACUGAACACUGGACUACACAGACCAUUGAACUGAUUUAUUUUUGGGACUCGUUCACGAAUUAUUGGCGGUUUUAAUUCUGUUUUGUAAAAUGUACAGAAAUAUGUUUGAAGCUGUCUUAAACAUACAAACACAGCGUGUCAGUUUUUGGGGAGAGAUUUAUUGUUGUUGUUGUUAUUUGUUAAAGACUCCAAUGUAUUCUGUGUUAUCUUGAGGAUGCCUGCUGCCAUCUGGGCUUGUUAUUUAGCAGGAUAAGAUCAGGGCACAAGGGAAAUAGAAGUAGUGAGCAUUGCAAGGUCUUCUGGGACCGCGUGUUGGGUAGAGAAUUAUAGCAGGCCAGGAUGAAGGCAGACAAGAAAAUUAAGGCUUAACUGAUGAGCCUGAACAGAAGUGGAUAAGAAAUUCUACCUGAAUCGAGCAUGGUUGCUCAUUUGGCUGUGUAAUUGUUGGCUUACUGCUAGCAUGGGUGAAUCUGCACCGCUGCUUUAUGGCCGUGGGCCCUGCUGCCCUGGAGAGCUGGAAGCACUGCAGUCCAGCUGAGUGCAUGAGGGCGGAAUCCAGCCUGAUUAAAUAUAGAUAGAAAAAAUAAAGGUGCCUUCUGAGCUCCUGUGUGAGCGUUUCCUUGUAAAGUUCACAGAAGUUAAAGAUGUGUGUAAUUGAGAGAAGAGCAGAGUUGUGGCUUUCUCUGGUUUUGAAAGGCUGAAUUCUUUUUGUUUUCUUCCUUUCUCCUCCUUCCCUGCUCAUUAAAAAGGCGCUAUUUGUGGUCAUUAGGAGGCACCCAGAGCAAUUAGAUCUAACUGACCUUCGUGAUAGCUAUUCAAGACAGAAGCUAAAACAGGAUUGUAUUGUAAACAACAACAGAAAGGGGGGCACACUAAACUUUAUGGCGUGUUGGUAUGUUGGGGGGGAAAUUAGAGGAUUAUGUGGUCAGCAUCCCUGUAAAUCUUGUUUAUCACUGAUGUGGGGGAGGACACCAUAUCUGAGGGGAAUCCUCGGACAGUGAGGUUGUGAACUUUGUGGUUUUAUCAGUUAAAAUGGCAGAGGGAAGAAUGGAAGGAAAAGGGAAUGAACUAACAGACUAAGGCCAAAUUCCUCUGCUUUUGGAGUAAAGUGCCGUGGGCUGGUGCGAGAAUGAAAAAACCCCUUAUGAACUGGUGUGUAGGGAGGCCUCUCCUGAGCAUCCGUCCAGCCCAGCGUGGUGGCUCUGAAGGCAGUCAGCAGCAGAUGUUGUUGUGGUGUGCUUGUGAGUUGAGCAAGGAAGAGGACCUGGGGGAAAAGGAUCCCGAAAGUUAUGGCAGAACAAGAUGGCAGCUGAUGUAUGGCAUCAUCCCUGCCUCACUGUGAGCACAGGGCCUGGGGCAGUGGGAGAAGCUGCUCUCCUGGCUGCCUCCUAGAGAGAUUGUAUACUUUUGGUCCAGUACAGGUCUUACAAAUAGCUAACCUGCUCCUGCUUCUAAAGCUGGGCGUGAAUUCCUUGCACAAUUGAAACCACGGUGAUACAAAUGGGAUCAGCUUUGAGGCUGGAAGGGCUGAGCGUCCUCCUGCAGUGGGACGGGCAGAGCGGGGCUCGGCCCCUUGGUUUUAUGUGGGGUCAGGCAGUCAGCAGGGUGGGAGGAAGGUUCGCAGGCGGUGAGCCCACCAUCUGGCAAUCAUAAAACAAGUCAUCAACGGUUUUUGGAGGAGGAUGGUGAGGAAACAAGCUGCAGACGAUUGUCAUGAGCUCGGGGCCCUAACACAGACACCUUUAUGGCUGCUCUCUGUUCUGGUUGGGUGUCUGUAGUAGGGGUCAAAAGUUCAGGCCGUUCCCCCUGCAUGUUUUUUCCUUCCAAAAGGUGGGAUGUGGGCAUUAUGGGGAGCCGUACCACGAUGGGGAUCCUGGGCAGUCCUGGCCCUGUUGGUACCCUACAAUACCUGCUGUAUGAGGUAGACUGCCUAGCACAGCCUCGGAUGGGGAGCGGAGAAAUUAAACACAGCUUAACUGUGUGAGAUGCUGCAGUGAGAUGCAGCGGCCACGCAGCCUCCCAGACAACGAACUGGCAAGUGCAGGCUGUCCAGUUACCUUUUUUCCUGAACACAAUUAGUAGCUUAUAAAAGGUUGUUACGCCACUGUACCAGACCUUGGAGGGAAGCAACCAGAUGAAGAUUUUAGAGACUGCUGUUCAGAGCAGCAUGCGGGCUGGUCUGAGAAGAACAGAAGCAUUGCCAAUAGAGCACUGUGGGGAGCACUGGCAGAAACAGGUGGCAUUACGGGCAGGUGAUGCAGCAGAUCUGGAGGUGCUGCGAAAUAUACUGUAGGAAAGGAAAAGUUGGCAUAGUUCUGUGGCUGCUUUUUUGCCAAUUUGUGUUCUGUAUGAGGUUGUAGCUCCUGCUCAGCUGCUCACCAGUGCUGCACCCACCUCGUGUGAAGGCUGGAACUUCCCGUUUGCCAGAUGUGGCAGGAAUCACAGAUCCGCUUUGUGCAUCAAAAGAAUGCCGUGACCACUGGGGCCUGAUUCUUCUUCUCAUAAUGAAAGUGAGGAGUAUGAGUAACUGUGAUGUGUGCUGCUACGCCCGCUGCAGGAUCAGCGGGCAGGCAGAAUGAGGUGCAGGGUAUUGUAACAACAAGAAAAACUUAGAAAUGUCUGAAACAUUUGAAUAAAUGCUGUUCUGAAGCAGUCAGACCUGGUUAAAGUGAAUCAUUCUGUGAACUGUUCUAACCCCCCUCACAACACAGAGCCUCCAGAUUAACAAAUGUGCUGGAAUGCAGAAUGCACAUCUGGUCUUCGUUACUGCGGCCCGGCUGUAAUCACAUGGAGAAAGCUACCUUGGGUUUUUAUGUAGAAAUGUUUGUAUUAUACAAAACCCCGGUUGCCAAGCGAUUUUUAUUAAAACGGCCAGUUUAUGCUCAAUGUAGUGUCCUGCUGAGGAGCUCUAAAUACCAUAAAAUCUAUGCACAGCGUCACUCCCAUUGUUAGAGCUCCGUGGGCUGAGGGUAAGCAGUGCUUAGGGGAUGGCUUGGCGCUAUCUGAGCUUUGUCUGUCUCAUACUUCGCUCAUUGGAAUGUCCAGUUGUUGCUGCCAUCUUGAGAGCUUUGCCUGUCACAGGCUGGAUUUGGAAGCUGGAACUGUAACCACAAUUUUGCCUAAAUGCAGCAGAUCUGGGUGAUGUGGAAAUUAAAAUACUGCUGGCUAAACUCAGUGCUCAUGGGGGGGGCCUGUACUCUGAACUCAGUAGUGAGGAAUCUUUGAAGGCUGAAGGGUUUCUUAAUGAUGCAUGGAAGAUUAGAAAUGCAUACUUAAAAAUCCCAAUUUACAUGACAUAAUGGUAGAAGUUGCUUUGGAGAAUUCUCCGAGGGAUUUAAAAUCAGUCAGAUUUACAAUGGGCUUUAAACAUGCUUCUCAUUAGAAUACAGAUCUGACCUGACCAGCAAUGCUUUCCAGAAUUUGAACCUAAAAGGGGGACUUGGGGUCUAAUAUGUACAGAAGUUUGGCUCGGUGAAACAUGGUUAAUGAACAUAAGUGAAACUUCUUUCACACAACGUGCAUUCAUCUAGACAUACUGGUAGGAAGUUUGAAGCAAUGACUAGCAAAACUAUACUUUUAUUAAUGUUUGCAAGAAUCAAGAGAUGUUUUGGUAGGUGAGGAAAGCUUCCACAGCAUUUUUCAGUAACUAAUACAGCCUUGAGUUAAGGAUGUUAUUUUGUGUUUCCAAUUAAAAGCUAGAUUCUUCUGUACAGUGAAGCCUAACAACUGGUACCAAAGGUCACAAGACAGGAAGGGGAAGAAGGAGGGCUGGUUUCGUAGCAUUGUGUCACUCACAACUGUCUGCCGGAAAACCACAGAAACCUACCUUCAUCCACACAGACAGCCAGUCACAACAUUCUUGGGUGGCCAAGUGGGUUUUUCCUGUCCAGCAGUUCUGCCUGUCCUCAUGCAAAGCACUCUCUUUACUCACCCUGCAUUAACAGUGGGGGAACGAGGAGCUGUUACCAAAUGUGCGCAAGUUUACGUCCUGCUCUGGCAUAAGCUGUCAUGAUUUGGCUUGUUUUAAAGCACUGUCACACACAGAAGCAAGGACUUUGAUAACAAGAAGGGCUACAGGUAGUCCAUCUGCUUCCAGUGCCAUUUCCUUCGUUUCACAAUAGAGACGCUAUUGCCUGCAGAUGAAGGAAAACUGACGCAGUUCCUGUCCGUCCUAGCCAGAAGAAACCAAAUGUUCUUUUCAGUUCAAAGUGGCACUCUGCGAUGGCUUUCCUUGUGUUAAUAUUUCCUUCUGUGUUAGCACACUGAGUGUGCCCACUCAGGGAAUGAGCUUGAUCUUCAGGUGCUGUGCCUGUGGACACCAGGGUGUAUGGCUGGUGAGUGGUGCAUGGCCUGCACAAUUUUACUGCUUACUUAGGAGCACGUGUGACUUGCAUGCUGACCAUGUGGCAAAAGUAUCUCUAGUUGAAGAGCACUGGAAUACGGCAUGUGAAGUAUCUGGAGGGCAGCACUUGAGUACUGCAGGCACAUCUUCAGAAAAAUGACCUUGUCCUCCCUGCUGUUACUCGGUUAUGCCGUAGGGGAAAAUACCUCCCUGAUUGUCUGUGGCAUCCCAGAACGUCACAGCCCUGCUCUGAGCAUGGCAACGUGCUUUGAUUCAGAUAGCAUUGCGAAACUGCUGUAUUCUUCUUGUUUCAGCAGUGGUUACUCAAGAACUGUUUCAUUAGAGGAGAUCAGAGUUUGAUUUGGGUGUACUCUGUUUCUUGAGUGCUGAGGAAGGUGCACCAGGUGCAGUAUUAUACGAAGGCAAACAUCCAGUACCUUCAUCCAGUACCUUCCCAGCACAUCUUUCUGGGGUACUGCAUGCAGAUCCAGAGCUCAACCCUUCUUACUACCUCUUAAUGGAUUUUUCUUAUGCAAAUUCCUCUGCCUGCUUUUGGAGCUUUUAGAAGCUUUUGGCAUCUGCGGUAUCUUGUGGCAGUGAAUUCCCCAGUUGUAUGUGGUAUAUGAAAAACAUCUCCCUUUGUUUCUUCCCCUUUUUCCCAGAUGUCAGGGAACUUAGUAAGGGAACUUCCAAUACCUUUACCUUAAAAAAAAGAACUAUCUUUUUUUACUGUAUUUUCUUUAAAAAUUUUUACGAAUCCCUGUUUAUUGUGCUCAUAAAAGCUGCACUGCAGUCUGUGUUUUAGGAUGAUGGCUGAAAUACUUCCUCACACUAAUUUUAAUGCUUUUAUGGGACAUAAGGAGUGUGAGCAAAGAGAAGGAAGAAAGUGUACUGUGUGCUAUUAAGUGUAACAGCUUGAGAUAACAGGAACUGUGAAGUCUACCUUAAAUCAAGUUUCUGGUUUUGUUGUUGUUUAUUUGGCCAAGAGGUGAAAAUAGUAUUGGUGAGCAUCCCAGCUGACACUGAGGCUCAGAGUGGGCUCUGUGUAUACAUGAAGCAUUCAGCAGUUGGUAGAAUCAGGCCCUGAGAUCCUGCACAUGUGGGAUCCACCGCGUGCCCUGUCCACAUGGAAGACUUGUGUUGUUUGUAAUGUCGUUGGUGAGUUUAAACUCUUGCCCCUGGGUCAGUGCAGCCAUACUUGGUGUGUGUGUGUGCAAGCAGACCUGGUAAAAAUGGUCUAGUUUAGAUCUACCUGUUAGAAACAUCUUAAAAUUAAAUGCAAAAUAUGUCUCCAUUGAGCUGAGUUUAGUUUGAAACUAGUGCAGCUUUUCAGUAUAGGGAUGACGUCAGUGUUCCUUUCCUCACGCACAGUUUAAUUGCUCUCCUUUAAAAAGGAAGUUUAUAUCUCCAGCUGAGUGUAUGCCAGGCUCCUGACACGCAUGACAAUUGAACUGUCUUUUUCUGCUGGCUAUUUAACACCACUAUUGGCACACAGAAUCACGUAAUUUGAAUGACUUGGCCUAGCAGGAAGUGGUCUUAAGUGUGAAGAUGAAAAUACAGCACAAUGAAGUUGCCUAGUUAGCAUUUUGCCCUAAAAUUCUUAGUACAGUGAUAAAUUAAAGAAAUACCCAUCUUGUUACUACAUCCAAUUACAUCAGUGCAGUGAGGUGCUACUUUCUCUUCUUUUAUACUGAAUCUUCUCAUUGCAUUUAUUUUAUUUUUUUGUGUGUUACUGCAGAGCACUGUUAGAGCUUUAGAUACACCACUUUUUUUGAACACGUUUUCUUGGCAUAAAUUGGUGUGUUUUCUUGGUCUGUCACAUCAAGCAAUAUCUCUGUCAGUGCCAACUAAUUGCUAUCAAUCAAAUGCUGAGCAUGAAAGGCUGGUCUGAAUGUUUAUUAAAGCACGGUUAGAAGUAUGGGGCACGCAAUUUCUUGUAAAAUGCAAGGCUAGAAUGAUGAUUCUGUGGGAAAUGGGCUGACACAUCUACAUUUUGCAGCUAGGAGCUGCUAUGCAGGUGGGCAGAUGAAGCAGGCGUGAGUGAUUUCUGUCAGGAUUUAGUGCCUGUCACUUGGGGGUGAGUGUGAAAGUGGUCAGGAGGAAACGGUUCCUCCUCAAUUGCUACAGGACCAUCAGGACCAUCUGCUUGCUCACGAGCUCUGCUGGCACAGCCACAGCCGAUGGGAUGGUGCUGCAGGGCAGAGAGGAAUGCAUGUGAUGCUCCAUGUCAGAUAGCUGAAAUAGUCCACUAGCAUUCUACUUGGAUAACUUCUGGGGUAAUCCAGUCAAGUGUGAAUCUUCCCCAGUUAAUUGACUUGUUUGUGGGCUGUUCAUUUUAGCGUUUGUCUUGGCGUCCAACCUGGUGUUUAUAUCACAUGUAUUUUAUUAAGAAAAUAGCAGCCUGUAGUCUGGCUGUCCGGUUUGGAAACUCAGCACCUCCUACCAGACUGCAAGAACCAGGAGUGGGGAACAGCGGCUGCAUGGGGCCAGGUAUCCCUUCCCUGCAGAGCUGUGGUGUCUGGUACCUUUGUAUGGAUGCAGGGCUCAAAAGGUCACAGCUCUUUUGUGUGUGCGUGUUUAUUGCCUCCAGUUUAGUUCUCAGGAGUCCCAUUUCAUGACCACCAUCAGUCCUGGCCAGGGCAUCAGACAGGUCAGGGGUGUUAUCUCUUUCUUUAUGACUCUUGGAUGUUUUUUUAGGAGAAGUAGUCAUUCUUUCUCUUUCUUACAAGCCCAUUUGAAAGUUCUAUAAAUAACCCUGGCUAUCAGCCUUUUAAACAUUUUUAUUCUUUAAAGGAUGCUGAGUAUUUACCUUAACUUUAAAACAAGACAAAAACUUUAAAACCCAAAGCAAUUGAGAUACUUCACAGCUGCCUGGAAUUAACAGCCUGAGUGUAGGGGAAAUAGUGGGGUUGAAAGUGGGACAAGCAGCAAUGCAUUAUUUUUUCUUCUGUUUUCUAACAAAAGCAGAGGGCUUACAUUGCAGUUGUAAUUUUUGCUCUCUUCUCGUAGGGAAACCUCAGUCUCAUUUAUUAGAAAUGUAGGCUUUCUUUUUUAAUAAAGUUGUGCUUUGAAGGUGGCAUUGAAAAGCUUUUCCUGAGACACUUUGAAAGCAGCAUCCAAGAGAGGAGAGGCACGUACUGUCCCAUGCCUGUAGCAUUGCACACUGUGGUAUUUUGGGUUUUCACAGUAACCUGUUUGCUGGAGGAACGUGGCCUCACGUCAGUUGACUUCAGGCCACAGGCCUUGUAAUAUGGGCUUUUCUGGGGUUUACCACUACCAGAUGGGGCUUUGUUUUCUGGUGCUCGAAUUUCAUAUUUCAUAUAAAGACACUUAAGUCAGAAAUAUUUAAAACAUAUCUAUUUCUUUCCCCAGUGCAAACAGGACCAACUUAAAGCUUGACAGAUCUUGACUUCCCUCCUGAAGUCUCCCUUUUCUUUAGGGCUGGGGUGGAUGGGCUUGGGCUGAGCCCGGAGUGCUGGGCUUCAGAACCAGACGAGCUGCUGCCUUACCAGCAUUCGCUGCCAGACUUUGGCAUCCUGGCUGCUUUCAAACUGUUCCCUUUUUGUCACAAAAUGCUGGACAUGUGCAGAGUGUGCUGAGGGCAGGAUGACCUCAGUGGAGCCCUGCUGGUAUCUUACCUUCUGAGAAAGCCAGAGAUUUUUGGAAGCGGUUUUCAAAAGUGAGGAAGCAAAUAUCUGUUUGUGGUUGGCCAAACCAAAACCACGUCAAAAGCAGAGAACACUUCUGUGUAUUUAGGUACGUCAGACAGGUUUCCACAGUAUUAUUCAAUCAUUGCAAAUGACUUUACUCACGGAUUAUUUGUAUUACUGGAGAAACUGAAAGUCUCUUCCCCACUGUGCUAGGUAUAACAGAUAGAUGUUCCCUCUCAGGAGAAGGUUGGUAUGCAGGACCAAAGAAAACUGAUGGGCACAUGGGGUGGGUGGAGAAAGAAAAACUUCUCAUGCAAUGGUGUCUAUGCUGUAAAACCAACCAAAAUGCUCUCCCGUUUCCCUCGGCUUGGCUGCCAGGCUACGUAGUUUGCAAAUAGAAGAAAUACCAUUGUGAGCACACUGCGUUAUGUCCUGUGAAAUAAUAAUAUUGCAACAUUCAGAUCACAUCAGAUCUGCCUGUCAGUGCUUGAAUACGGGACAGAUCUGAUUCCCAGCUACACUUUCAGAGGAAAUUUGAAAAAUGAAGGGUCACAGGGAGGGGUCCCUGUGGGCUGCAUGACCAGUUACAAGAUUAUUGGCUUUUUUCAUGGUGCUGUAUCCAAUGACAAGUGCCUUCUCUGUAUCUGUGUGUAACUGAAAGCAGAGUGAUUUGCAUUAGAUAGCACAGCCAGAAAAGGACAUACAGAUUGUUUUGAAGAAAGUGAAAAUUGUUCUGUUUAUACAAACUGGUGCAUUCUAAAAUGUCAUCAAAGAAUUUCCAAACCUUCUUUUCCUAUAAACAGGUUUGAGAAAGUGUGUUUAGGGGUUAACGUUAUAGGCUCGAGUGACUUGAAGUUGCAAGAACCCUUGGAAUGUGUAAAGAGGGGAAGGAUUCCAUAGAUAAGGCUGAACUGUGAACUCAGGGCACAAUCCAGUUUAUACCUUAAUCUCCACCAAUAAAAGCAGCAUCAGCUGUCUGACUGAGUCAGAACACUGCUCCUCCUGGUAAAGUUGUUCAAAUAAAGAAAGUAGGCUGUUACAGCAGAGAAGAUGGCAAAGAAGGUGUGCAGUUUUAUUCUUGCUCUUUGAAGCACAUAAAGCAGAAAUGUUUUAAAAAAAUAAAUCAAAAAGUGUUCAUAUGAGGCUGUGUAGUCAACUCAGAUUUAUGAAACUUAGGAGAUUCUUAUAUAAUUUUUAAAUUCGACCCUUGCUCUGUCACCUCCCUCCAUUUCAGUAUAUUUCAGCAUUUGCAGUGUUACAUUUGGAUCUACAGUUGUGUUAAAAGUGGCCUGAAGAGGAUCAAACAUUUAUUUUUUUAACAUUUUUUGUGCUGAGUGGCAUUGGGGAAUUGGUUUUCUUCUGGCCAGCAACAGUUUGGCAAAGACAGCGAAGUGCUCAUGCAGCAGGUAAGAAAGCAGGGCAGUGCCUGCAGCAUCCCAACAUAUCAGGACACCAAUCCCACGCAGCUGGGCAGCAGCAAGCUGGGAGCGACCUGCUCUGCACAAGCAGGGAUGUGGGGAAGAGCGGCACAGAAUGAAAGCAGAGUUCAGACGGAAAUAUUUAAACAUCAGCAUGGAAAAAUCUGACUCAGUCGGGACUCUGUGUUUGAUAUUUUAUCAGCAGAGGCCUAUUAUUUAGUUUGCACGUUAACUCACUUUCCUUGCCAUGAUUGUUGUGAUUACCUCCUCCCAAGUUUUCUUCUCAAGAAGUUGCCCGUGUGGAAAAACAUGGGAAUGUGUAGGUUUGUGCAAGUCUUGUUUUCUUGGACUUAGAACUUGGAUUCUUUAAAUGUACAAACAAGACUGAUGGUAUUCUAUGUCUUUUAUAUGAGAAGUAUCUCUUUGAUGAGGUUUAGAAAACAGAAAAAAAUAUUCUGGUUUGUAAUACAGAAAUAAGGUGAGAUGUUUCCUUGGAUUGUAGUUGUAUCUUAAAUGUAAUGGUCACUGGUUGCAUCUGGGGAUGUUUGAAAUGUGGAAUUACUGGCUAUUUGAAAAUCUGCAGGAAAAGAAAUGAAAUUACAUUAAGUCCAGUAACUUUCUUUCAUUUCCAAAAGUGCCUUGUGAAUUUGGGGUGACUACAGGAGACAGCCUGGAAACCCAGAUUUUUAAGAAAGUAAUGGCUGGGCAAACGUUGAAAAUCAGAAUUUAGUUGAACCUCUCUGUUGCUCCCCGGAAAUGAAGGCGUGUAAAAUCACAUUUUUUUUCUGACCAUUUCUAAAGCAGCGUUACAGGCAGAACAGGCUGUUAUGUGGUCUUUCUGCAGCAUCUCAUGACCUUACUAAGAUCAGGAGGUUGCUAUGUCAUUCUCAUUCUCAAUUACACAGUACCUUUCUUUUUUGCAUCAUUCCAGCUCGUUUUCUGACCUAGGACAUCUUUUAUUUUCUUAUGGACUGAGUGUGUUAUGAUCUUAAGAACUGGGCACGGGCGUGAAGGUCAGAACAAUUGCCUUCUAUUUCUCUCUGUUGCUGAGUGAUGGACUCAAAAUCCUUGCCUCUGUGUUAACCUAUCUGCAAAAAUGGAGAUAAUGCUGCUAUAGGCUUCUGUGAAGCACUUAGAGGGUUAUCUUUUUUGAUAGGCUGCUUCUUAGAGAAGGAUAAAAUGACUUGAGUGCUUGUGCCAAAACUAGACUGCACUGAACAUUUGGAGAAAUUGAUUUUAAUUUAAAUUUUCACUCUUGCUGCUAGCGAAAGCCAGAAGGGAAGAAGUAUUUCAAAAAGCAGGCUUCACUAGCUUGCUUCUUUUAGGGCUCCUGGAAAGCAGGAAGUGCAGCAGUUCUUAUGAAAGAGAUGCAACCCCUGAUUUUAAUGAAUAAAGUUGGAGAAUUGCCUACAAGUCAGCAUUCUUAUUUAAACUAAGCCUCAAACCCCACUGCUGGUGUUUAAGGACAGUCCGAUGAGGUGCUAAAAAUACUCUGUUCCUCCAUCCCUUUUCAAUUAGGGAUUGCUAAUUUGAGCUAAAACUCUUACGAGAUUCCUAAUGAUAGGACUUUGAAUGGAGACAAGACCAGAAAAAUACUGGUAUGCUAUGCAGCACCUUUAUAGGGCAGUGAUGGCAGAAGUCCUGGGUAUAGGUCACUUCUGUUAGUACCAGCUCCUUGCUGGUGCCAAGCUGAUGUCGAUGGCUGGCUAUCCCUGCUCUCCAUGGGUCCCAAGCUCCAGAGAAGACUUCUCUGUCACGCUGGAAGUGAUGUCCCCAAGCACCGUGGGCACGGGAUGAGUGGGUUCUGCUUCACCAGGGCCUGGCCGCUGCCCAGCCUGCAGCCCGUGGGAGUAGUGGCCAAGGUAAGGAGCUCCUGCCUGCUGCGCAGCACCCUGCGCCGUGUCACCUGCUGCUGCUUCUGUGAGAGCUGCUCGAGGUUUAAAGUUGGGUUUGAGCAGUCAGAUCGCCAUAAGGCCUUACAAAGGGAAACAAAGGCUGAAUGCAGUGCUGUAAAGGCGACCGCUAAGGAAGCGGCUCGGUUUGCCUGGAUUUACAGCCUUCUGGGACCAUCCCAAAUGCACUGCCCAGCUUCUGCCUUCAAAAGAAAAGUGUCCUCUUGCUCUGUUUUCAGCCCAGUGUCUGCCCACCCCCUCCAUCUUUUUUUGAAGCCACCAUUUUCUUCGUAUGCUUAUUCUCAAGGAUUUUUUGUCAUUAUAUCAUGCUUCUCAGAAGAGUUGCUUUAAAAAAAAAAAGAAAAAAAAAGACAGCCUCUUGUCAGAGGAAUGUGCAAGCAGAGUACAUUUAAGAGCCACAUUCUGUGCUGCCAUGGCAACUGGAGUUUUAAAAAUGAUACCAUCGGUGUUCCAAAAUGAUGCAACCUACAAUGAACAUCAGGAAUAAUUAAGAAAAGUAGAGUGCGCUCUGUGCUGAGGAGGGGAAGCAGUGAGGGGACCUUUUCUCUGCUGAUAAGGGGAACUGUUCCUCUUGUUAUUAUUUUCUUCUUUUCUUUCCUGCGAGUGCCGUCUUCUGUUUGGGUUUUUGUGCCUGUGCUGGCGAUGCCCUCACGGCAGUCGAAGGAUGUUUGUUAGAACCUGUCAUGUUUGGCCCUGCUGGUUCUGUGGACGGCCUGCUGAUGAUGCUGAAGAACCAAUUAAUUUAUUUUUAAUAACAGCAGUGCCGGGGUGCAGCUCUGUGGAGGUCGUGUCCCAGGGGCCCACUGCUGGCCUUCUUGCAGCAGCAGUUCCGAUAGCGAGGGAUUCCUGCCACAGCCUGGGAUCUCUCAUAAGCAAAGCCGUGCGCUCAGCAUCACCCCUUGUUGUUCUUCAUCCCCAGCUUCCAUUAUCCCACCAGCAAUGCAGAGGGAGCAAUAAAAAAUGGAAGUCCCGGGGCAGAUGAUGGUGCAUGGAGGAGUCAAGAGGGCUUGAAAAUGGCAAAGGUCACAGGUUAAGACCCUUUGCUGGGAAGAACAGAAGCAGUCUGGGCUUGUUAAUGCAGUGACUGGGAGUUUUAGUAUUGGGUAGAGAAAGUGAGGAGGCUGGGAAAGGAGAGCAGCCCAGGCUCUCUGUGAAGUCUCAAGAAGCUUAAUUGUGAAUAUUACCGCUAAUCCAAUGAACUGGAUACCUCCUCUACCUUUUUUUUUUUUUCUUUUUCCCCAUGCCAAAAAUUAACCUUUCCUGGAUAAACUGUUCAGUCUGUUUAGGAGAAUAAGACUGAAUCCUGCUGUUUCCAGGAAACCAAACAAGAGACCAUAUCUGCUAAUUAAAUUACUAAAACCCAAAUAGCCAUGAAAUUUCCAAACAGGACUGCUUACUCUGGGGAAGAUUAUUGCAUUUCCAGUCUGAGGAUAAGCCUGCCUUUAUCGGUCAAUGUCAGGUUCUCCUAUUGGUACCUCAGGUGUAGUUACCCACUGACCAGGAACCCUAAACAUGGGUUGGUGUGUGCAGGUAAAACAGUGUAACUGCCCCGACUUCCUGGAAAGCUAUAGCUGUCUGGCUGUUUCCUGCUACACACAUAUUAUGGUUUCUGUGCCUUGCAGCCUUGAGAAGCAUUCUGUAUUCUUUCAAGGUUGUUUAAUGAUAUAUUUUAAACAAACAACAAUUAAAAAAAAAAUAAGCCAGAAGCGAACAGUGCAAGGACAGCUCUCCCUGCCUGCCCUGAGGAAGGCACAUGGCAGCAGUGCUGCUGCCACCACCAUCCCUGCCCAGGGAGCACCACCCUCUGUGUGCUGCUGGGAGUUCCUUCAUCUGAACUGGUACGCACCGAGUUCAUGCCCCAACCACUUCCCAAAAGGCUGGUAUUAUAAGAAUCUGAUUUCUUUUUUCUUUUGCUGAUGAGACAGAUUGAAAGUGUGUUUUAUGGGCACACCCUUUCAGGUUUCUGUAUCUCCUAGCUUGCAUUAAUUUUUAAUCACUUCCUCCAGUUGGCAUGCAACAACACCUCUGAGGACUGGCUGCAUUUAUUCUCAGGCAAGCACUACUCAGCCUUCUUUAUCAAAAAAUCUAAGGUGACAUGACCUUAAAAACUUAAGAAAAUGGAUUGUGAUUUCAGGUACACUGGUAUGCAUUUGCUCCAGGGGAGCAAUACGAGCUUCGCUGAGAUCAGAAUCUGCCUGCAAAAAGCCUUACAGUGUAGAACAAAUUUGAGCUUCUGGAUUUUCUGGCCUGUUAUGUGCAUCUGUUAGCAGAGGAUUCAUUGUGCAUAAUUCCCGAAUUGCUGCUCUCUUUUCAGGCAAGAAUCCUAUUGGUGCAGGGUUUCAUUUACUCUAUUGUUCUGAAGGUUGAAACUCAUCAUAUUUCAGCAGGCAAAAUGAAUGCUUAGGAGAAUGUGUGUGUCUGUAUAUGGAUACACAUUCAGAAUGUCUAUAUAUAUGAACCCCUCCAUGGUGAUUAAGCGUGCCGUUUCAUUCCCCAGGUGAUGUGCCAAAUUGAUUCCAGUUAGAACAUGUAACUGGAGAGCUAGCAUAGAGGAAGGGAUGGGCAGUACAUGGGAAGUGAGUAACCUUCUGUGUGAAGGGUGGGCCCACAGCUUUCAGAAAAGCAGCAGGCCCUGCAUCUGUAGGAUCCAAAGGCUCUGCUCUAAUGUUCUGUUUUCAGAUGCUGUGGCAGCAGGUCGCAGUGCUGGAACCUCACAACCAGCGUAGCAGCCUUUGCUGCUGGUCUGCAGGCUGAACAUUCAGGUCAGAACCCAACAGAAGCUCAAGGUAAAGGUUGGGGUGAAGCGAUGUGCGCCUGCAUGCACAGAAAUGCAGAAGUUGAAAGCCUCUGCCAUGCAAAUGCGCCUUUAAACCACUGGCAGGGGGUUGCCUGUCCCGAAGGCACAGGAGGAAGUCAUGCAGCGCUGGUGAAUGGGUUUGCCUUGGCCGCGGUCCCAGCCAGGGAAAUUGCGCGACAAUUUUAGGGCAAAGGUUCCCCUUGGGUGACAUUCUACUGUAUUUCAAAUGCGCCGUGCGUGCGCUGAGCCCUGCGCGGUGCUCCUCUGCCCCGAGACAAACAAGGCUCAGAGAAUUACCGAGCUGCGUGAUGGGGAUGACCCCGCUUGUCGCUGAAUGACAAAGGAGCGGCUGUGCUGGCCGGACAAGAGCGUGCUGGCAGCUGUGCACAACUAACAGAUCUCUGGGCAGGCUCGUCACCCAGCGUCGCUUUUAUGUACGCAUCUGCACAGGUACACGGCGCGCCGUCAGUGCGGCUGGACGGAGCCCAGAUGCCUAUUGAAGGACACGUGACGCGUCUCGCAUGCCGGUGUGUCAUUCCGGAAAACCACACGUGGAUUUACCAGGCCGUGGAGGCCGAGCUGCCUCUCGUUCCCGGGCCUCCCUGCUGCGGCUCCGAGGAUGCCUGCGAAAUGCGUCAGCCCUGGCGCGGCGGUGAGCCGGGCAGACGGGGCGGCUGCGCGCAGGACGGAACAGCCGCAGUCUGGGCUCCCAGCCUCCUGGCUAGACUGGAGAAACUUCUAAUUGAGUUCCUGAGCCUCCCCUCCCCUCCCUGCAGCUCGGCUGAAAAACACCCUGGCUGCCAGCCAUGCCCUUUCACAGUGACCUUGCCUGCAAAUAGCACGCAGGAAUUUUUACAGGCACUGUGUGCACUUGGAAAAAGGGUUGGGGGUGUCAGGAGGGAGCCUGGAAGGGAGCGGUGCUGCUCCUCUGGGAUUAAAGGCUCGAUCCCGUUGCCUUCCGCCCCCCAGCAAAACUGCUCAGACCUUGAUUUGCAGAUUUCAUUUCUUUGUGCUUGCUCUUUUUUUAUGAUGCUCUGGAUUAAUUUCUCUCUUCUGAUUCCACGACAAAUUAUAAGUCUCUAAAGAUUGAGGUAGAUGAUGGGUUUAAAGGAAAUUGUUUAAAACAGGGGAAGGAUGAUAUGUGAUAUGCCUAGGCUCCUUCUGCAUGUGAUUAUUCUUUGGCAUACAUGUUAAAAUACGUACAUGAGAUACUGAGGGAGAGAAAGUGCAUAUACGUGCAUGUGCAUAUAUAUAUAUAUAUAAAGUCCAUCUAUCCAGUUAUGCACGAACAUAAUGUAAAAUGAUACUAGCAAUGGCUGUCCACUUAGUAUAUAUACAUAAAAAGCAGCAACAGCCAUUGGUUAAAAAUAACCCCAAAUUCUUCUCUCAGAUUACUUAAAUUAAACUUAGAACAUUUGAUGUAAAAAGUUAGGCCCUUAGAUUCCAUUUAAGAAUAAUUAAUUACUGCUUCUGGGCCACUGUGAUCCGGGCAAUAGAGAUCACAGGGUUAGGGACACAGGAGCAACGCAUCAUGUUGCAUCUGACCCUUGUGGCACAUAGAACAAGCCACCUUGGCUUCUACACCUUCUGCCAUCAGUAUUAAGGCUAAUUACAAGGUUUUUUUGGGAGGAUGAGUGUUGUAUGGUGUGACCAAUGUAAGCAUAGGCAUCCCCUGAGCCUUUGCUGGGGCCUCUGGGAGUGCUGCAGCAGUGUUACUGCCCUUGUAUUUUCAUUUGUAGCCUUGAAAGCCAGGCAGAAAUGCUCUUGCUGUUCCGUCCUGCGGUGUCACAAGCUUUGUUCCUCCUGUAGCUGUGCAGACUCUUGGAUUUGAAGGUGUUCAGCACUUCUCAGGAUCACACUUUUCACACAUUGCAGUGUGUCAGUUGUAUCAGGCUCUUUAGACUUAUAUUAUGACUACUUGAUACAAAAAGGAAAAUUGAUUAUAUAGAAGCAACUUUAAUUAAAACUUGUUUUUCUUGUCUGCUAUCCUAUGUUUAUGUCUGUGGCAACCCAUUCCGUGUAGUCAGCAAGCUUCUUUUCACUGCUUUGAGAAAUUCAGCUGUUGCAAUCAAAGGUAAUUUUGUUUGUGCAAGAUAUUCAUCUCCAAAGGAAGGGCCAAGAGUAGGGGUGAAAGAGAGGACAGUAGGCAGAUAACUUAAGUGUUUCUGCUAGGCCUUUCUGACAACCCCUGUAAUUCUUUAAUGGCUUCCUAAUAAAGUUUAACAUAAUUAUGUAUGAGAGUUUUUUUGGAUCACUUUUCUGCUCAGUGUCUUGAAGGGUAUGAAAAAGAAGCAGUCAGAACCAGAAGAGAUGUGUGUAUUUCUCAGUGCUGCGUUAAUAUGAUGCUGCUGCAGUCUGAGCUCUUAUCUUUUAUACUGAAAGGGAGUAAUGGACUAAAUGUCAUUAUGUAAACCCAACUGUAAGAUUCAUUGAUGCACAUUAUGUUCCUGGCAACCUGUAUGUAAGCAACCCAGAGACUCAGGGUUUUGAUACCUAAAGAAAAAGGGAUUCUUCUGUUACAGGAUAGAAUUUGCUUAGUGUGACUUUUUCCGAGACAUAUGGUGCAGCAGCACCUGUUUUAUAAGCAUGAUCUCAGUGCAGAGAGAGCAGAUCAUCCAGAAUAGAGGAAAUUUCAUCUCUUUCCCAUAGUUCCACCUGGCCACCACCUGCUCCCCCAUGGAAUUGGCCCCAUUCCUGGGGCUCGCCACGCCGCUCCUGGGAGGAAGCUGGGGCAGACAGCGAGCACAGAGUGCCGGGUAGGCAGAGGGGCCUGGGAAGAGCAGCUCAGGCAGGAGGCAGGCUGUGUCGUGUUGGCUGGCUGUCACCAAGGGGUGUUGACUGGCCUGAGGGCCGUCGGCUGUCGCUCCUCGUCUACCUGGUGCAGCAAUCUGAGUAGCUGGGUGUAAAACGGCUGGUAAUUCACAUCUGAAGAAAGAUCCAUUGCCGUUUGAUAACGCACUGGCAGCUCGGAAGUUUCCAUCCUUCCAGUCCUGCAUCACAGAAUGCUGGUGAUAACAGCUGGGAGUAUCCAAGUGUAGUUGGCAGUGAUGUUCACGCACCAGGGAUAAACAUCCCGACAAAACUGCCGUGUUUAUUUCCAUGUGGAUGUUACUGCUUGGUAAAUUCCAACACAUCUGGUUGUUACCACUGAGAUUUGCCAAUAAAAAGAAGGGUAUUUUGUCUCAUUUUUCAGAGAACAAAUUAAGCGUGGCUGCUCUUGCAAAGAAGAUUUGAAAAGUUCACAGAUUUUAUUCCUCCUUUUCUCCAUUCACCCUACCUCCCUUGAGUUUAAUCACCUUUCUUCACUUACUUGGUGUGACCACAAAUAUUUGAUCAUGGUUUCCUAACUUAAUUCAACCACACUGGUGAUCAUGGUGAAUGUUAGCAGCUUCAGAAGGAAGAGCUGCAUUAACAUAACGAACCUGCAUGGAGCUGCUUCGUUAACGGAGCGCUUGGCUGAAGCACGUCCUGCUGGGUCAGUUGGGAAUGGUGCCCCUGGGUUUCAUUAAUCUGCAGUGGAUUUAUAGGUAUGGAAUGUCAGGCCCUGAAGCGAGUUCAAAAAUUAAGUUGUUCGUCAUAAUUUUUAAGUCUUACAUAUUGCACAGGUCAAUGGUUUACUAUGGCAGGUCACCAUUAUCCCUAGUUUUCCUCUGGGUAAAGUGAAGCACAGGGGAACAGCCGCAGUUCGCUGGUGGAAUCAAUGCAGCUGGGAAUCUGCUUGUUCCUGUCCCAGCCUUGUGCCUCACUUCUCCCUCUGCCACCCACGUAGUGUUGAACAGGGCUUGCUGUAGGUUGGUGUUAGAGGAUGGAUGGACACCUUCUCCUUUAGCGUGUAGGGAAGGGGAAAAGAAGGACAUCCGGAGAAGAAAGUGACUUACGUGUUCUUGGCAUGGCUGAGACCGUCUGCAAAGAGUUUGCUUGAACAUGCUGCAAGUUGGAGCCAAAAGAGACAGCCAGCUAGCGUGGUGCAGCUCUUGUUGAUCUGCAGCAUUAAUUUAAGCUUCUUUCCAUGUUACUGCAUUUUCACUUCCUUUUCUAGAAGAACAGCAAACCGUAGAUAAAUGCUGCUCUUAUUGCCUGUGUGCCCCACGUGCAUGCUGCAGCGCUGGGGAGAAUCUGGGCAAGGGGGAGAUAAGUAAACCACCUCUGUUUGAUGAGAAUAACUUAUUUUUGCUUUGGUUCCAAAACAUUCCUUUCUUAUAUUGAAAGCUGUAAUGGUUGCCUUGAUGUAUGGAGGACCAUGUGAAAUUGUCUUUUAUUCACAGUGGGUUUCCUUAUACUCUGAGAGGUUUAAUGCAUGCCUACAUAAGAUGUCAGAAAAAUACAUAGGAAGUCUGCCUUAUUGAGCUUUCCUAUAGUUCGUCCUAUGUAUGUUAAGGCACAUGUACACUGUUCAAAUAGAGUUUGUUUGGAACGCUGGUGGGUUUAGUGGAGGAAGAUGAGGCCAAGAUGGCCUUUGUUAGCUGCUCUCUGUAAUCUAGUUUGUGGCUUUGGCCUCUCGCCUCUCUUGAAUUUGUUUUCAAACAUUCCAGAUAUUAAGAAAGUGAUAGAUACGGGGUUUGGAUGACUGCAUCCAUAGAGAAGUGGACAUCUGCAAGCAGGAUCCUCAGCAGUCGUCUCAAUGUGAGCUGCUUUUGUUGGUUAGAACCAGCAGCCUUAUUGGCAAAGGUGCAUCCUUGGGCUGUGCAAGCACAAGCAGAGCGUGUUCUUACACCUGUGGCUGGGCUAAGCAGAGCUCGCACCAUUAUAGAAGCCAUUUGUUUGCCAUCUAUUCUUACGGGGCCCUUUUUGUUUACUUUGAAGCUCCUUUAUGCUGCCGUAAGGAGAUUUAAUGCAAUCUGAGUGCAAUUUAGAAUGCGCGGUCCGUCACCAGCUUCCGAGCACAUAAAUGGGAAAAUUAACAGCUGUUCUCCAGUGUAGCUGAUUUCCUGAGGACCACCUCUCUCCCCCUCUAAAUGGGACACGGAGAUGAUUGUGACACGUGCUGCUGGAACACAGCAGUCAGAGCUGACCCUCUGAACCAUCCCGAAGUCCAACAGCAUUAAAAAGCUCCCGGUGCCGCCUGCCAAGUGCGUGUUAUCGUGGUGUCUCCGAGCUGUGUAGCCCUUUACAGAUAAGGAGAGCUCAAGAAGCAAACUGAAUGUUUAAAUUGACUCAACCUUUGUGAAGCCUUUAUCCGUUCUGGAGGAGAGCGACUAAGUGAAACCAGGGAAGUCAGCCUGCAGUACCCAGCUUACAGCUCAUGCUGUAGGAUCGUUUUCACAAAGAACACUGCAUGUUCAGAGCAGAUUGGGAGUGGCAUCAUGAAUUCUGGAGCCGGGACAAUGGCUGCUUUUUGCAGUGCACAGAAGUGCAAAAUGACUGGGCAGCGUCACAGAACAUUUGGGGCUCUUCAGACUGUUUCUAGAAGUGUCAAGCCCUUAGAGUGCUAGGAUUUGGAUACCUUACAGGGAUUUAAUUUUCAUAAAGUGCUGAAUACACACUCUGAAAAACAGGAUGCUUGAAACUUGUCAUAUGAAAAACCUCAGUUGUUGCCUUUCAAAAAAUGUUUGCUCUUUGGCCAGUUUUUCAAAUGUCAUGAUGAUGGUAUUAAAAAAAGCAAUCAAAUACAGACUAUACAGCAUUCAA